GGAAGUUUGAUCCUGGCUCACAACGAACGCUGGCGGCGCGCAUAACACAUGCAAGUCCAACGGAUUACUUUCUGUACCACUACAGGAGGUAGCUCAGUGUCACAAGGGUGCGUAACACGUGGGCAACCUGCCCGGAAGUGGUGGAUACCUCGCCGAAAGGCCAAUUAAUAACGCAUGUGGCUAGAGGAGGACCUCUCCUUGAAGCCUAAGUCCGGACAACCUGACGCUUCUGGAAGGGCCCGCGGCCUAUCAGCUAGUUGGUGAGGUAACGGCUCACCAAGGCUUUGACGGGUAGCUGGUCUGAGAAGACGACCAGCCACACUGGAACUGAGACACGGUCCAGACACCUACGGGUGGCAGCAGUCGAGAAUUUUUCUCAGUGGGGGAAACCCUGAAGGAGCGACCCCGCGUGUAGGAUGAAGGUCUUCGGAUUGUAAACUCCUGUCAUUGGUGAACCAGACUAGGCGAGUAACUGCGAUCUACUUUGAUAGUACCCGAAGAGGAAGAGACUGCUAACUCUGUGCCAGCAGCCGCGGUAAUACAGACGUCUCAAGCGUUGUUCGGAUUCGUUGGGCGUAAAGGGUGCGUAGGCUGCGAGGUAAGUCUGGUGUGAAAUCCCGGGGCUCAACCCCGGAACUGCACUGGAUACUGCUUUGCUAGAGCACUGAAGAGGGAACUGGAAUUUACGGUGUAGCAGUGAAAUGCGUAGAUAUCGUAACGAAGACCAGUGGCGAAGGCGAGUUCCUGGACAGUUGCUGACGCUGACGCACGAAUGCCAGGCGAGCAACGUGGAUUACAUAGCUCGGUCGUCCUGGCAGUAAACGGUGCACGUCUGCUGUGGGAAGAUCCCACCCUUGCCUGCACGAACUACUGAGUUAACGACUCGCCUGCGGAGUCGGUCGCAGGAUUACACUCAACUAAUUGAGGGUGCCCCACAGCUGCGAAUAUGUGCUCAAUUCAUGUACGCAACAACUUACCGGGCUUGACUGCACUCUAAUCGGGCAAGCCGCCAGUCCGCAAGGCACAUUGGCCUGGCCUGCAGGAUCCCUCACUCAGGAGGUAAAUUCGGUAAGUCCUCACCACGCAACCUUUGGACUGGGGCCCCCCUUGCGAAGACCCCUGGGAAACGCCGGAAAAGGGGGGAAGGGGGAAAACUAAACCACCUCCUACCCCUGGGGCCCCCUCAAAACCCACAAACAAACCAACCCCCGGGGAAAA
rnacentral:rRNA from 1 species